GGGCGUGCGCCGGCCCUAACUCUCCUCUCUCUCUCUCUCUCUCUCUCUCUCUCUCUCUCUCUCUCUCUCUCUCAUACCGUCCUACCUCCUCCCCUUCUUCCAUUCUCCUUCCAUUCUCAUACAGAUAGAGGGAGAGAUGUGGAGAGGAGCUUGACGAGAAGAGGCCAGCCGAUCCGGCCAUCCAACCUUCCACCGGCUGAAGACGAAAUGCCAUUUUGCAAGGAAUUUGCCCACAAGUUUUUGGACUCUUCAUAGUGAAGCGUGCAGUUAAAAAGAAAGUAUUGAGUGCUUUGGGCAAGAAGACUCUGUGAUGCAUGAAAUGGAAUGCACUUUUCUCCUUCAAAUCCACGCCAUCAACUCAUCAUUUAUGUUUAUGCUAACAUUUACUAUUUUGACUACUAAAAUCUGUGGCGUUAAGAUUGAUUGGAGGUGUGCAACACAUUGACGCUUCUGGGACAGGUUCGUGGAGUCUCAUCUUCUUCUAGUUGGUGACCCAGGUGUGUUUUUAUUUGUAAUCCUUUGUUAUUUGAAGCUGCAGCCUUACUAUGGAAUUGGAUUGCCAAAAUACCAUGGAAUUUCCAGACAUGCAACAUCAGCAGUCGCAACUUAUAGGUUCUAUAUAUCAUCUUUACCAAUUCUUUUGUUUCGAUUGUGUUACGUUUUAUUUGGAUGCUUGUACAAAUAUUGAGAAUAAAAGUAUCUCUUGGAUUUCUAUU